rnacentral:rRNA from 1 species
UGGGGAAUAUUGCACAAUGGGCGCAAGCCUGAUGCAGCCAUGCCGCGUGUGUGAAGAAGGCCUUCGGGUUGUAAAGCACUUUCAGCGGGGAGGAAGGCGGUGAGGUUAAUAACCUCAUCGAUUGACGUUACCCGCAGAAGAAGCACCGGCUAACUCCGUGCCAGCAGCCGCGGUAAUACGGAGGGUGCAAGCGUUAAUCGGAAUUACUGGGCGUAAAGCGCACGCAGGCGGUCUGUCAAGUCGGAUGUGAAAUCCCCGGGCUCAACCUGGGAACUGCAUUCGAAACUGGCAGGCUAGAGACUUGUAGAGGGGGGUAGAAUUCCAGGUGUAGCGGUGAAAUGCGUAGAGAUCUGGAGGAAUACCGGUGGCGAAGGCGGCCCCCUGGACAAAGACUGACGCUCAGGUGCGAAAGCGUGGGGAGCAAACAGG